rnacentral:rRNA from 1 species
GACGAACGCUGGCGGCGUGCUUAACACAUGCAAGUCGAACGAUGACCAGGAGCUUGCUCCUGUGAUUAGUGGCGAACGGGUGAGUAACACGUGAGUAACCUGCCCCUGACUCUGGGAUAAGCGUUGGAAACGACGUCUAAUACUGGAUAUGAUCACUGGCCGCAUGGGCUGGUGGGGGAAAGAUUUUUUGGUUGGGGAUGGACUCGCGGCCUAUCAGCUUGUUGGUGAGGUAAUGGCUCACCAAGGCGACGACGGGUAGCCGGCCUGAGAGGGUGACCGGCCACACUGGGACUGAGACACGGCCCAGACACCUACGGGAGGCAGCAGUGGGGAAUAUUGCACAAUGGGCGCAAGCCUGAUGCAGCAACGCCGCGUGAGGGAUGACGGCCUUCGGGUUGUAAACCUCUUUUAGUAGGGAAGAAGCGAAAGUGACGGUACCUGCAGAAAAAGCACCGGCUAACUACGUGCCAGCCGCCGCGGUAA